UACGGAGGGGGCUAGCGUUGCUCGGAAUCACUGGGCGUAAAGUGCACGUAGGCGGCUUUCUAAGUCAGGGGUGAAAUCCUGGAGCUCAACUCCAGAACUGCCUUUGAUACUGGAGAGCUUGAGUCCGGGAGAGGUGAGUGGAACUCCGAGUGUAGAGGUGAAAUUCGUAGAUAUUCGGAAGAACACCAGUGGCGAAGGCGGCUCACUGGCCCGGUACUGACGCUGAGGUGCGAAAGCGUGGGGAGCAAACAGG
rnacentral:rRNA from 1 species